CACGAGCAAACAUCGUCACUCUCCAAAAAAUGCACUGUAAUUCAUUGUUUCACUUUGCAUCACGCCAUACCAAAAUACAAAUCAAAUAUACAUCCUUAAAUGUGCCAAGUGUUAUUAUACAACAUAUUGAUACAUUUUGUUAUGAGAAAUACUCGUUACAUCCAUACUUCUCGCAUGUACAGCCAUCUACCGGGAAAAUAAACAGUGCUAGUGUUCUCUUGCUUGUUUCGGAAGUGAAGUUCGUUUACAGUGCUACUUGUGUUUCCGAUUUUCCCCCUAAUAUUCUGAUGAAAACGUACUCUUAUUCAGAUUUUUUUCUUUCUUUUUUUUUGUGAUCUAAAUUCAGUGAAGUGCAAUGCCCGUGUUGCAGCUGCAGAAGUCCGUCAGAGAUUCGUCACCUUCCCAACUUCUCUUCCCUUCCUAAGUUAUCUUCCGCGGAAUUCGAAGAAGCUGAUUAUCUCAGGCUUUGUCGAGAUCCUCCUUGCGUGCGUCCUGGCAGAGGAAGAGGCGCUUCCGGCGUGAGAAAAAUUUGGGUGCGAUAAAGUCGGGAAAUUGAAGAGGAAUAGAAAGGAGGUGAGUCCCGUCGAGCAGACCAGGUGCCAGCGACGCGGCUUGAGGAAAAUCAGAGUGAAAGUCAACCCGUCUUGGCAAGCCGGUAUACAAUAAACACCCACAGAAGGCUUGCAUCACCAACUCUCCUUCUCUCGACACGCAUCUUUGGGAGAGUAUAAAAUGAACUCUACAUUAGUGAAGUGUUCUUUUGAUUAAGACCCCGCGCCUUGUUUUUUAUUUUCUUAUUUGAACGUUUUAUUCUGGAGAAUUUAUUUAUCGCAUUAUCUCACGAGAGUGCUAAAGGGCCAGAAUGCGAAGAACUUGCUUUGUGUUCACUGUGUAUAAAAUAAUCUCUUCAUCA